rnacentral:rRNA from 1 species
CAAAAGCUUGGUCCUGACUUUACUAUCAAUUUUGACUAAAUUUAUACAUGCAAGUAUCCGCAUCCCUGUGAGAAUGCCCUACAACACCCAAUUUUGGGAACGAGGAGCUGGUAUCAGGCACAACUCCCUGCUUAGCCCACGACACCUUGCUCAGCCACACCCUCAAGGGAUUUCAGCAGUGAUAAAUAUUAAGCCAUAAGUGCAAACUUGACUUAGUCAAGGCCAAAUUAGAGCCGGUAAAACUCGUGCCAGCCACCGCGGUUAUACGAGAGGCUCAAGCUGAUAGACACCGGCGUAAAGAGUGGUUAAUAAGAAAUGAAACUAAAGCUAAACACCCUCAAAGCCGUUAUACGCAACCGAAGGCAGGAAAAACCCCCACGAAAGUGGCUUUAAAACUAUGAACCCACGAAAACUAGGACACAAACUGGGAUUAGAUACCCCACUAUGCCUAGCCUUAAACACAAGUAGCACCUCACCCCCGCUGCUCGCCCGGGAACUACAAGCACUAGCUCAAAACCCAAAGGACUUGGCGGUGCUUUAGAACCACCUAGAGGAGCCUGUUCUACAACCGAUAAUCCCCGCUCAACCUCACCCUUUCUUGCCACUCCCGCCUAUAUACCGCCGUCGUCAGCUUACCCUAUAAAGGCCUAAUAGUAAGCAAAAUUGGUACAACCCAACACGUCAGGUCGAGGUGUAGCACACGAAAGGGAAAGAAAUGGGCUACACUCCCUGGCACAGGAAACACAGACAAUAACUUGAAAUAUUUAUUUAAAGGUGGAUUUAGCAGUAAGAAGGAAAAUAGAGAAUUCCCCUGAAACUGGCCCUGAAGCGCGCACACACCGCCCGUCACUCUCCCCAAGCCCAUACAAGCCCUAAUAUAUAAAGACAAUAACUGCAAAGGGGAGGCAAGUCGUAACAUGGUAAGUGUACCGGAAGGUGCACUUGGAAAAACCAGAG